ACCGCUCCUGAAAUAAUGAUAAAUAAAACAUAAUUCAUCAACAACUGGCAUUUUCUUAUUUUAGCGAAGUAAAACAAAGAAAAGAACUAAAUUACUAGAAGCAUAUAAUUUAUGUAUGAUAAAGUAACCGUGUAAUUAUUGUGCCUUACGGCAAUUAUUAGGACAAAUAGGUGAGAAAAGAGACCAAUAAAUUACAAUACCCACAGACAAGUCAAUCUAUUGACAAUUACCUAACUCGUAAACAAUGAUAAAUAAACAUUAAUUAUCUUUACGACCAUUAAUUCGCUGUAACUGUAUGGUCCAAAAAAUGUUAUUUCUUAGAAUGUGUACGCAAAACAUACAGAAAUCAAUAAAGGCCAUUGAUAUAUUGAACAUAUGUACAUACGCAUAUGAUUAGAUUCGUUAAUGUAAAUGCGUAACUUUAAUCUUUUCAGAUUUUGAAAAGUAAUAAACCAAAAAUCUCAUUUAAAACCUUUCUUUCAUCGAUAACAUUAAUAUUAUGUCCAUAUUCAAAAUCCUUCCAAAUCAUUGUAAAAACUAAUAUCUUCCUCUAGUUUAAAGGCCCUUUCGCCUGACGUGAAUAAAGGAUUUAGUGAAUCUUCAAACGUCUAUUUCAUCGUCAGCACUGGAUGAGAGAUGUCUCUAUUUUCAGCGGCUGCAGCCAGGGCUCGCUGCACUGUGAUAGAAUUGUUCAAUGGACCGAUCGAAUUUAUGACUUGUUACUUGCUAGUGCGACGGUAUCUACUAAAGCGUUGUACAUCAUAUUCGGCAAUUAAAAUUUAUUUCAUUAUUUGAAUACAACGCUAUCUAUACCUCACCAAUGGUGUUACACAACAAAUUUCAGUCGUGUGCAAAGGGAGUCAGUCAGAGACAGAAAUCAUUUGAUGAUGUGUAUCAUAGUUUUACACCAUUCACACGAUGGGUUCUUACACAGUAGUUUAGUUCGCUUGUUCCACGACAGAUGUCGUCUAUUUCAAAGAUAACCAAUUAUUUCAGAGCCUUCGUCGCUUUCUGUCUAAUAAUUUGAUAAAACUGUAUCGAAAUUGAAGAUAAUGAACAUACGCAUCGAGUGAUGUGCGGUGUGGGGCCAGGACAGCGAGGCAGAGUGCGGCGGCAAUAGCGGCGUCGACCGCCCGCCCUCCCGCGAGCAGUGUGGCCGCGCCCGCCCGCGAGCAGGAUGCAGCGGACGAGGAUACUGAACCGUGCGGCACCACCUGAGACUUACGUCACUGAUUAAUACGAUUAUAAUAUUAAUACAUACUCUCACUUAAAUAUUGAUAAUAAAAUAAUAAGGACAUUAAAAUUUUAUUAUCUGUCUGCGAUUGUAACAGUAGAUAUGUUUAAUUCCAUCUAGAGACGAAACCUCUUAGUAUUCUCUUAGUAUUAGUGGAGAGGAGCUGUAACAGUGCGUGGGAUCUCCGA